rnacentral:tRNA from 1 species
UGGGGAUUAGCCAAGUGGUAAGGCACCGGGUUUUGGUCCCGGCAUUCGGGGGUUCGAGUCCCUCAUCCCCAGCCA